rnacentral:rRNA from 1 species
CCCGUCUGAAUACUGUAUCAGUAGCAGUUGGAGAAGUACUGAAUGAUACACAUCUUACAUAGCUGACUCCCAACAUCCUGGAUUAUUUAUAUCUAAUCUGACUGCAAUUUUUAUGCAUUUCAUAGCUUAUUUCCCGUCUGAAUACUGUAUCAGUAGCAGUUGGAAAAGUACUGAAUGAUACAAACUUUACAUAGCUGACUCCCAACAUCCUGGAUUAUUUAUAUCUAAUCUGAUUGCAUUUUUUAUGCAUUUCAUAGUUUAUAUUUCAUCUAACCAGUCUGCAUUUUGAAUGCAUUAUGUUGUAGCCAAGUCCAACAGAACUUGCUCCAGUGGCACGCCAAGUCCUCAUACAAGUAUAUUUAUGCGCGAGCCAAUAGAUAUGACAAGUUCAAGUCAGUCGUCUUUGGAUGAUGAAGUGACAAACGAAUCAUCUACGAUUUUUCCUACUAAUGGCAUGCUCAUAUCAACUGAGGGCUUGGAGCGAGGAGAAAGCUCAAAAGGACGAAAGCGUGUACGUGAAGCAAUAAGAUAUGCUAGCCGUACACCAGAACAAAUCCAAGCAAGGCGAGAACGUGUUAGAGCACGUCGGCAAAUUUUAACACCUGCUGAGAGGGAAAAGAUUAAUGCACAAAGAAGAGAGAAAAGACAACGAAUGGCACUUGAUGAGAGGAAUGCAAGCCAACGAGCACGUAGGCAAAGUUUGACAAUAGAUGAGAGGCAAGAAAUAAAUGCACGCCGGCGAGCACGUAGGCAAAGCCUACCACCUGAAGAGCGGCAAGCACUCCUAGCUCAAUGUAAUGCAAGCUACGCAUCUAAACGAGAUGCCCUCUGCAGGGAUUCUGUUGCACUACAGUGCCCUGCAGGUUCAUUGAUGGGACAUCCAUCAUCAAGUUCUUAUGUCUUUAGCCACCCAGGAGAUGAUGAUACUACCCAGCACAUGGAACUCACAUCGGUGCAAUGUCCAACAUCUACAUCAGUGGACAAUCCAUCAUCACCCCAUGAUGGUUUCGUAUAUUCAGAUUCCCCAAUAGAAAGCUUUGUCGCCGAUGAUUAUGAUUCUCACAUGUCCGAAGAACAAGAUGAUGAGUACUU